rnacentral:lncRNA from 1 species
UGUUCUGAAUUUACCAAACGAUGAAACUCCGAUGAGAGACCAUCAGAGAAGACAACUGAAGUUUAUCUCAGGUCGUCUGAGUUUGGAGACACAUUGGACAUUUGAAAUGUUUUGAUUGGUCCAAUUUAAUUAGAUCUGGUGUUUUAUUUUGGCUAAUUUCCACUGUGUGUCCCAAUCUUGUGAUUGUUGGAUCUACCACGUCAAUUAAUGAAGUCAGAUCCAACACUCUGUGUUUUUUCUGAUUUUAUUUCUUUUUCACUUUUUAUUUUUAA